GAGGUUUUAGCUCAGCUGGAUAGAGCGUCUGGCUUCGAACCAGAAGGUCGGGGGUUCGAGUCCCUCAAGCCUCACCA
rnacentral:tRNA from 1 species